UCUGCAUUGUUGGUAAGGGCCUGUAAGUAAGCAUUUCACUGUUAGUCUACCCCUGCUGUUUACAAAGCAUGUGACAAAAAAAUGUGAUUUGAUUUAUGACCUUCAAUCUCCUGAAGCCUUAUGAAGGCUUGUGGUUGUCACACUGCCUGGGAUGUGUGUGUUUAGCUCAGUCCUUCGGUCCGGACAUGUGUUUCCAUACCCUAUCUGAUAGCACAGACCCUGCCCCCUUAACCCCCUCUCAUCUUUUCUCGCUCAAGCUUUUUCCGAGAAACUCUGAGACGCCCCAGGGUGGCAGUCAGAUGACCUUGGGACAGGGCUCUGCCGGGACUUUAUCGAAACGCUGGUAUUCCGAGCACGAUCGUGAACGCUAACAGGACAGUGAAAGAAGAAUGUCUAACUCACACUCCCGGCCCAGUAUAAACUCCAUACCCUGGCCUGUUCUGAGAGACAGGAAGUGCUCCUAUCAUCUCCAUGGGAAAGAGUGGAGCCGGAGACCCCUCCUCAAACAGAAGGCGGGUUUAGAUCAACACACAAAACAGGUUCUCACACACAAAGAGCUUCCCUUUACAAUACCUUACAGAAAACCACUAACCCUUACAGUUUAACUAUCACUCUUUAGAGGUGAAAAUCAUGUCAUGCUUUUCAGAUGGGUGUUAUAUAGACACAUUUGGAGGUAGAAGUAAAAUAAAGAGUACCUGAGCCAUAUCUAUAACUUGGGGGUAUAAUAAACAAUAUAUAAAAAGUCAGUUAUAAGCCUAACUAGCACACUAGGCUAUUUAUCCCUGAAUAAAUUGUGCAAUUUUUUGUUUUCAACAAUCAAUUCUUAUUUAUAAAUGUUUCUAAGCAUGAUUUCCUUUGUUUCUAAAGAUUCAAUAAUAGUCUUGUCUGCACCAUGAAAUAGAAGCGCUUUCUUCCCGCCAUGAAUGGCUGGCUAUUCUCCGAGCCUUACAGCGCCAUUGAACUGCUUGGGGAUGCAAUUGACACAUCCCAGUGGAACUGCCGAGAUGCGCCAUGAAUAUUUUUUUCUCCCUGAGGAAACAGAGGAGGUGGAAUAGAGCUGACCAAUGGCAGACCGGACUGUGCGCAUCAAAGGGGAAAUAAUAGCCUGUUCACUAACGUAACCUUGCGGGCGUCCUUCCGUUGCCAUCCAUGACCUCCAACUGUCCGUCGGUGUUCCAAGGCUCCGGAAUAGCACCUCCAUCCGUUAUCUUUUACGCAGGCAACAUUGAAUUAGUGGUGAGUUGACAAUUUCCCUUAAACGCACACACACACACACACACACACACACACAUCCCUCUGCAAUGUGUUCCUCUAUAGUUUUCACCUGGCCUAUGGAAUCUGUGAAAUGAAAUGACCAAUGUGCCCAUUGCCCAUUGCCCUACUGAAGAAAUUAGAAUAGUAGCCUCAUAAUAAACUGUCAUUUUGGGUCAGAUAUUAUAGAUUAAUAGGAGAACAGGAAAUAAACUUUUUAUGUCUCUGAUGCCCUUGAUCACUUUCACACAUGCAUGCAGAUGCCCAUGCCUCUCCCCCCUAUUUCCAAAGCAAUGUUUAGGACACAAACCAGCCUUGCCAGGAGAAACCAGCAGGGUAGUAGAGCAGGUUUGACUGUCAGAGGAGAGUUUCUGUGUUUGUACUCAUAGCAGUAAUGUGAGAUGGGGGUUGUCUCAGAGUGAGUGGCAGUGACACCCAAAGCACCUUCAGAUCCCUCUAUACCACACAUGUCCUGUCUCAAUCAAAUCGAUCCCAUUUUGGGGAUGACAUCUCAGGUGACAAAUGGCAUCAUUUAUCUCCUUUCGAUCACCAAUACUGAUUUGAGCAGGCAGGAUUGUUUUUUUUUGUAACACCAGUGCAGGGGAAGGAUAGGAGACUGGAAGGGGACACCACUUCCGACUAUUGAAAUGAAACACAAGGGUUCAGUCAGAAUUUCUAAACCCCUACAUUUUACAGACUAUUGAGAUGAGAUACAACGGAAACCAACUAAAGCAAAUUGCUUUUGUGACAAUCUUUAUAUUCUGCGCCAUCUAGUGGAGUAAACCGAGCUGUACAUGACCUUUGCCAGUAGGCCACAACACAUGUAAGGUGAAAGGGACAACCCAUAUGUAACUUUGUCUGUAAAUUUGCUAGUAUUUAUGGAUGCCAUGAACCAUCAUGGCUUUUAAGGACUCCAAAUGAGACAUAGCCUAUGUUUGUUUC
rnacentral:lncRNA from 1 species